AACGAACGCUGGCGGCAUGCCUAACACAUGCAAGUCGAACGAGACCUUCGGGUCUAGUGGCGCACGGGUGCGUAACGCGUGGGAACCUGCCCUUAGGUUCGGAAUAACUCCCCGAAAGGGGUGCUAAUACCGGAUAAUGUCUUCGGACCAAAGAUUUAUCGCCUUUGGAUGGGCCCGCGUUGGAUUAGCUAGUUGGUAGGGUAAAAGCCUACCAAGGCGACGAUCCAUAGCUGGUCUGAGAGGAUGAUCAGCCACACUGGGACUGAGACACGGCCCAGACUCGAGCGGGAGGUAGGAGUGGGGAAGAGUGGACGAUGGGCGAGAGAGUGAAGCAGUCAGGACGUGGGAGGGAUGGCGUCAUGGUUUUUAUAAAGCUCUGUUGCCGGGGAUAAUAACGGCAGUAGCGAGAGAAUACGCCCCGGCUACCCCCGUCCCAGCAGCCGGGGUAAUACGCGGAAGAGAAAACGUUCGCCC
rnacentral:rRNA from 1 species